CCAAACCAACAAGCUUGCUUGUUGGGGUUGUAGGACACUCUAUACGGAGUUACAAAGGACGACAUUAGACGAAUCAUCUGGAAAGAUGAAUCAAAGAAGGUAAUAAUCCUGUAGUCGAAAAUGUUGUCUCUCUUGAGUGGAUCCUGAGUACGACGGAGCACGUGAAAUUCCGUCGGAAUCUGGGAGGACCAUCUCCUAAGGCUAAAUACUCUCUAGUGACCGAUAGUGAACCAGUACCGUGAGGGAAAGGUGAAAAGCACCCCGGAAGGGGAGUGAAAUAGAACCUGAAACCGUGUGCUUACAAGUAGUCAGAGCCCGUUAAUGGGUGAUGGCGUGCCUUUUGUAGAAUGAACCGGCGAGUUACGAUUUGAUGCAAGGUUAAGCAGUAAAUGUGGAGCCGUAGCGAAAGCGAGUCUGAAUAGGGCGUUUAGUAUUUGGUCGUAGACCCGAAACCAGGUGAUCUACCCUUGGUCAGGUUGAAGUUCAGGUAACACUGAAUGGAGGACCGAACCGACUUACGUUGAAAAGUGAGCGGAUGAACUGAGGGUAGCGGAGAAAUUCCAAUCGAACCUGGAGAUAGCUGGUUCUCUCCGAAAUAGCUUUAGGGCUAGCCUCAAGUGAUGAUUAUUGGAGGUAGAGCACUGUUUGGACGAGGGGCCCCUCUCGGGUUACCGAAUUCAGACAAACUCCGAAUGCCAAUUAAUUUAACUUGGGAGUCAGAACAUGGGUGAUAAGGUCCGUGUUCGAAAGGGAAACAGCCCAGACCACCAGCUAAGGUCCCAAAAUAUAUGUUAAGUGGAAAAGGAUGUGGCGUUGCCCAGACAACUAGGAUGUUGGCUUAGAAGCAGCCAUCAUUUAAAGAGUGCGUAAUAGCUCACUAGUCGAGUGACACUGCGCCGAAAAUGUACCGGGGCUAAACAUAUUACCGAAGCUGUGGAUUGUCCUUUGGACAAUGGUAGGAGAGCGUUCUAAGGGCGUUGAAGCAUGAUCGUAAGGACAUGUGGAGCGCUUAGAAGUGAGAAUGCCGGUGUGAGUAGCGAAAGACGGGUGAGAAUCCCGUCCACCGAUUGACUAAGGUUUCCAGAGGAAGGCUCGUCCGCUCUGGGUUAGUCGGGUCCUAAGCUGAGGCCGACAGGCGUAGGCGAUGGAUAACAGGUUGAUAUUCCUGUACCACCUAUAAUCGUUUUAAUCGAUGGGGGGACGCAGUAGG
rnacentral:rRNA from 1 species